rnacentral:lncRNA from 1 species
ACCCCUGGAAUUGGCACAUUACCACAGAGCUCACACGUUUUCACAGUGGUUUAGGGGGGAAGCUGCAUAAGGCGGGGCUGACAGCAAGGACUUUGACAUUAGACACGCUUCAGUUAAGCCUCGCUCCCACUUCCCAAUCUAGGGGACUAGGGGAUCCUCAGACAGCCCAGAUGUUCCUCAGACUACUCAGCACCUUUCUAGUUAGGCAGGAUCAUGCCAAAUUCUAAAGAAGCCAGUACGCACCUCCAUCUGUGUCUUCCCCUGCCAGGGAGUUGGCAGAGGCCACUGUUCCAGACAGCAGAGCCUCAAUCAGCCUGAAUCCCUGAGCGACCUGCAUGGAGCAGAUUCCCUCGCCAGCCCCCAUGAGUGGGAGUGAGAGUCCAGAGAUCUGCUGGGGGAUGGUGUGAGCCCAAAGAAGCCGAUUUCCUUCUUGAAGGGGGUGAGAAGAAGGGAGACUGUGACUUGACCAAGCCAAUCGGCAAACUACCUUCCCUCCCAACAGAAGUUGAUUUGUUCAGGAGGGGGCAUGUGACAAAAGCUGGGCCACUCAGAGCCCAUCUAAGGACUUCACUGAAAUGCUGACAUAAAGCAGCCACUUGUGCCACAGGGGGAAAGCCAGCCUCAAAUGAAACUGUCUCACAAAGAAAUAGAGAUGAAUGACUUGUAGAGAACUGGAAACAGAAACAAAAUGAAACUUGCAGAGAAAAUAUUGCAAGUAAAUGUUGAACCUCUGGAUCGAACCAUGCCUGAGUCCCUCCUGGCUCUGACUUUUCAGUUAGAUCUCCAAGAGGACCCUCCUGCCUCUGCUUCUCUUCCUCCCCUGAAGUCAAUUUUGCAGUGUGCUGGUCAGCCUCAUCCAGCCCCUCUUUUCUGGGAACUGCUCUAACUCGAUGGCUGGAUUGACUGGCCAAGAGACAGACAUCAGGGUGAGCUGGAUCAUCAGACAGUCUCUCCUAGGAAUGUGAAAUACGAAUUCAGAGAGGCUGGCAGCCCAUUGUUCACGGGAAUGCAGAAGCUGUGAGGCUGAGAAACCCCUUUCCAUCCAGAGGGAAAGAAGGGUCCAGUUUCCUCUGAAGUUUGCAAGGACACAUGGAAGGUCAGCAGAAACUUGGCCAUCUCAGUGUCCUGGUGGGUGAUUUUUACGAGGAUUUCUCAUCACAGAGGAUGGGAACCCAAAGGAGAAUGGCCGCCAUUGGAGCCUUUCCUGUCCCUCCACUGCCCAGAACAACUGAACUCUGUGUCAGUUGGGCUGCAAGUAAAGAAAACUCAACUAAUGGAGGCCUCAUUGAACAGGAGUUCAUUUUACUCACGUAACAAACCUAUGUGGUCCCAGGAUUGUCUCACGGCCCAGUAAAGGCAAAGCAUGGCGUUAGCAAGUCUGAGAUGUUCUUGAAUUUCCCCCCAUUGCUGCAAGAUGGCCCCUACAGCUCCAAACAUCACAUCCUCAAUGGUGAAUAAAGCUGAUCUCCAACUGGGAAGAACUUCUGUCUCCUGGUGUGGUGAAGGCUGUUGGAGCAUCUGCAGGAGCAUCCAAACCCUGUGCUAUUGGGGUAGUCCAUGCCCUUCAAGCCAGUCAUGGCUUUCCUGUUUCCUCUGUCAAAUACUGGCUAAGGAUAGGUCUGUGAUGCAAUUCUGGCCAGUGAGACAUGAUGGAAGAGCUGCUGGGUGAAAUUCUGGGAAAAGUUCCCUUACUCUUUAAAAGAUGGAUCCAGGAGAAGAGAGUCUCUUUUGCUGGGUGUUGUCAUAUCUGGAGGUGAUGCCUGGAACUGUGGCAGCUGUCUUGUGAUUAUGAGGGAAGCUGGCCUGAAAACAGACUGGCCCACUGAAGAGGAGGGCAGCAUGGAAUGUGGAAUAAACCUGGGUCCCUGUUGGCUUCCUGCGGCCCUGAUCUAACCAGCCCUGAGCUGUCCUACCUCUGCACUGCUUGGCACAGGAGACACAUCUUGAUUGUUUAAGCCCCUUUGAGUUGGGUUUUCUGUUCCUUGCAGCUGACAGCACUCUAACCAAUCCACACAUUUCCCUCUGCUCGAUUUCCUGCUCCAGAGAGACAGGCACAGACCAGUACCGGGCAGCCCCACUCUGGGGAAAAACAACAGUGCUUAUUGUUUGCCGGCACAGUGGGAGCUCUGCCUCCUGGCACAGUGGGAGCUCUGCCUCCUGUGGCAGGCUGGCCAUUCCAAAACCACACUGCCUGCCACUGCCAUAAAGAGGCCAGGACUGUGUUCAAAACCCCAGGCAGCAGGAGGAGUGGUUUGUGGGAGGUGUUGUGGUAGUGCAUAAAGGAAGGUCAUUUCCUGACCCUCAGAACCCACACUGCCCUCAGCCCCACACAGCCCUACCCAGCCCAGCAUCGCCCCCAGUGCCCCUGGAGACAAUAAUGGCAGCCACCCACUGGCUGCUCCUGUGCGGGCAGGGCAGGAAAGCUGGUGGUUAAGUGCUGGAGAACCCCCAGGCCCUGGGGCUUGGCCGGAAAGGAUUUCUGUAGAGACAGCGUGGACAUUCUGUCCUCUGCAGGCCGCCUGGUACAGGAUGAAAACAGGCCGGCUCAGUACUUUUUUGGCAACCGAUUAUAUAGAUUUGCAUCCACAUGAGCUCCCUCUUGCAAUGACCCAGACCCCCACGAGGGCUCUCCCCACAGUCAU